rnacentral:rRNA from 1 species
CAGUAGUCACGAGUUUGAUCCUGGCUCAGAUUGAACGCUGGCGGAAUGCUUUACACAUGCAAGUCGAACGGUAGAGGGGGCAACCCUUGAGAGUGGCGAACGGGUGAGUAAUAUAUCGGAACGUGCCCAGUCGUGGGGGAUAACGUAGCGAAAGUUACGCUAAUACCGCAUACGAUCUAAGGAUGAAAGCGGGGGAUUCGCAAGAACCUCGCGCGAUUGGAGCGGCUGAUAUCAGAUUAGGUUGUUGGUGAGGUAAAAGCUCACCAAGCCGACGAUCUGUAGCUGGUUUGAGAGAACGACCAGCCACACUGGGACUGAGACACGGCCCAGACUCCUACGGGAGGCAGCAGUGGGGAAUUUUGGACAAUGGGCGAAAGCCUGAUCCAGCAAUGCCGCGUGCAGGAAGAAGGCCUUCGGGUUGUAAACUGCUUUUGUACGGAACGAAAAGGCUCUUUCUAAUAAAGAGGGCCCAUGACGGUACCGUAAGAAUAAGCACCGGCUAACUACGUG